rfam:Scardovia inopinata F0304 genomic scaffold supercont1.1, whole genome shotgun sequence.
GGGGCCGAUUGGUUUCGACGGUGAUCUGUUCGUUGCUGGGAAGCGUGCCGAGAACGCAGGGGUCCACUCGUUAAUGUCCUCCUGCAAGAAUUAAGUGCUAAAUCUAAUCGCACUGAGUUCGCUCUUGCUGCCUAAGCUUCGCGCUAGGAACUAAACAGCGAGUUUGCGACUCCGCCCACCUCUUCUCGUCUUUGGAAGGGAGCUGGACGUCAUUAAGAAGACUUGCCUGAAACGUUGAGACUCAAGGCGUUUGAGGGACUAUUAUUGCGUCUAUGCCCGCCGCACGUUGUUUGCGACUGUGCUGGGGCAGACAGAUAGCCAUCAGGCCAGCAAACUACGCACGUAGAAGACAGUGAGUACGGUUACCGGACCCGGGUUCAAUCCCCGGCGGCUCCACGA